GCAAGACUAGGGGUCAAUGCUGGUGUAGUUUGUGCUGCCAAAGCAACAGUCAAUGCUGGUGUAGUCAAUGCAAGAGCAGACACCUCAACUGCCCAACCUGCUGUAUAAGAGAGACAUUCAAUGCCCCAUGCAAGGAUUCCAAAAUUGAUUAUCAAAAGAAGUGGAAGUGGUACUCAAGGAAAGUGAAGUGACUGAAGUUCUUCACAGGGCUCUUUUGUGAACUGAAUUUGCUAUAAUGACUUUUUUUUGUAGCUCUCUAUUUUUUGUUGCCCUCUGUUUUGGGUUGCUUAUCAAAGGUUGUAAUAUGUAGGGCCCUACUAUGUAGGAACAAACUAACUUAUUUUGGUGAACUGAAUUUGUGGUCUGAGUAUUGAUUAACAAACCUGUGGGGGUAACUAGACUUAAUGUAAUGCUUGGUCCUUCAAUGCUUGAACUAUUUUC